rfam:Lachnoclostridium sp. YL32, complete genome.
UUGAUGAAUUCGGGAGAGAUUACCGUUGGGUAACGCCGAAGGGGAUGCGCAAACUCUCAGGCAAAAGAAUCGAAUUCGGACG